rnacentral:rRNA from 1 species
UGGGGAAUAUUGGACAAUGGGCGAAAGCCUGAUCCAGCAAUGCCGCGUGAGUGAUGAAGGCCCUAGGGUUGUAAAGCUCUUUUACCCGGGAUGAUAAUGACAGUACCGGGAGAAUAAGCCCCGGCUAACUCCGUGACAGCAGCCGCGGUAAUACGGAGGGGGCUAGCGUUGUUCGGAAUUACUGGGCGUAAAGCGCACGUAGGCGGAUACUUAAGUCAGGGGUGAAAUCCCGGGGCUCAACCCCGGAACUGCCUUUGAUACUGGGUAUCUGGAGUCCGGAAGAGGGGAGUGGAAUUCCGAGUGUAGAGGUGAAAUUCGUAGAUAUUCGGAGGAACACCAGUGGCGAAGGCGGCUCACUGGUCCGGUACUGACGCUGAGGUGCGAAAGCGUGGGGAGCAAAC